rnacentral:rRNA from 1 species
UACGAAGGACCCAAGCGUUAUCCGGAUUAUUGGGUUUAAAGGGUGCGUAGGCGGGUUAUUAAGUCAGUGGUGAAAGCCUUCAGCUUAACUGGAGAAUUGCCAUUGAUACUGAUGAUCUUGAGUAUGAUUGAGGUGGGCGGAAUGUGUCAUGUAGCGGUGAAAUGCUUAGAUAUGACACAGAACACCGAUUGCGAAGGCAGCUCACUAAGCCAUAACUGACGCUGAUGCACGAAAGCGUGGGGAGCAAACAGG